UACGUAGGUGGCAAGCGUUGUCCGGAAUUACUGGGUGUAAAGGGAGCGCAGGCGGGAAGCCAAGUCAGCUGUGAAAACUACGGGCUUAACUUGUAGACUGCAGUUGAAACUGGUUUUCUUGAGUGAAGUAGAGGUUGGCGGAAUUCCGAGCGUAGCGGUGAAAUGCGUAGAUAUUCGGAGGAACACCGGUGGCGAAGGCGGCCAACUGGGCUUUAACUGACGCUGAGGCUCGAAAGUGUGGGGAGCAAACAGG
rnacentral:rRNA from 1 species